GCCAUAGCUCAGCGGUAGAGCAUCUGCCUUGCAAAGGGAAGGUCGUGGGUUCAAAUCCCGGCAUCUCCU